UGCUAAUGUACUUAUAUGCGUGCUCCAAAAGUUCAGCAUAAGUUUGAGGGAGAGUUUUAUCUAGAGAGUAAGUGAAUCUGGAUCCUCUCAAACCUCUCUUUAUGGUCGAGAUGGCCAUAUCUUCGUUGAUGUCUCGGAUCUUAAGUGUGGCAGCAUUAAAAUAUGCCAUGAAGUCUCUCAGUAUCUCUCAUUCAUCUUGCUUGAUGAAGAAGAGACUGUCAGAUGUUCGUGGCAUCUUUCGAUCGAUGUUGAAGUGGGCCAUGAAUGAUUAUUUUAGCUGCUGAAAAGAAUGGAUGCUUUCCGAUUGGGAUCCAGAAUAUCAGGCUCG
rnacentral:lncRNA from 1 species